CUACGGGAGGCAGCAGUGGGGAAUAUUGCACAAUGGGCGAAAGCCUGAUGCAGCAACGCCGCGUGCACGAUGAAGGCCUUCGGGUCGUAAAGUGCUUUUCGGGGAGAUGAGGAAGGACAGUAUCCCCGGAAUAAGUCUCGGCUAACUACGUGCCAGCAGCCGCGGUAAAACGUAGGAGGCAAGCGUUAUCCGAAUUUACUGGGCGUAAAGCGUGUGCAGGCGGUCGGGUAAGUUGGAUGUGAAAUCUCCUGGCUCAACUGGGAGAGGUCGUUCAAAACUACCUGACUAGAGGGCGAUAGAGGGAGGUGGAAUUCCCGGUGUAGUGGUGAAAUGCGUAGAUAUCGGGAGGAACACCAGUGGCGAAAGCGGCCUCCUGGAUCGUACCUGACGCUCAGACACGAAAGCUAGGGGAGCGAACGGGAUUAGAUACCCCGGUAGC
rnacentral:rRNA from 1 species